rnacentral:rRNA from 1 species
UACGGAGGGUGCGAGCGUUGUCCGGAAUCACUGGGCGUAAAGGGCGCGUAGGUGGCGCGAGGAGUCUGUGGUGAAAGCCCGAGGCUCAACUUCGGGUCGGCCGCGGAUACUCUCGUGCUGGAGGGUGGUAGAGGCCAAUGGAAUUCCGGGUGUAGCGGUGGAAUGCGUAGAGAUCCGGAAGAACACCGGUGGCGAAGGCGGUUGGCUGGGCCGGAACUGACGCUGUAGAGCGAAAGCGUGGGGAGCGAACAGG